UCGACAUCCAAUCAUAUCUUAUCCGACAUGAUUGAUAUUAUCCGUAUUCGAAUCCGAAUCCGACCAGAAAUAUAAAAACAAAUAUGAUAUCGGUGAUAUCCGUCCGAUCCGUUUUCAUCCCUAACUGCGGGUCACGGGCUACAGGCUGCAUCCAGUUCAUGGUUCCCUGCAAGGGCGACAGCCAGCUGAAGCAAGGUUGGUGAUGCUUUUGUGGCCGAUCAAUCUCCCUGUAAAAGACUAAUAUUGCAAGUGACAAUAAUUUUCCCAAUUUAUCAUGGUUGCUAGUCCUACUAUAUACUAAUCUAAUGCCUUGCAACUCUGAAGUAGACACCUAGUAUACCGGUCUGUUUGGUAUCAGCCUAGUUUUCUUUCUAAAAAAAUUAAUCAUUUGAAGAGAAAAAAUCAAUCAGGGAAGCAUUUAUUUUCAUGUAGAGUUUCUGGUGAUCUAUAGUGCUUAUUUAAAUAAAAAAGAAAUAGCCAUACAAUAGUUCUGCAGUGAUGUUUAGAAGGAAAAGGUACUAACAAAUGCCUGAUUGUGGAGGAAUCAAACCAAAGAUCAAGUGUCUCACCUUCCGAUUAUAUUUCUUUUGCUUUUUUACCACCUCCUUUAGGCCAUUCAGCAAUAAGUCUCUUGAGUAUAGCUUUCACAAAUGGUUUCUUCUGAACAGGCAAAUGUUGCACCCAACCAUAAAUUCUCAUCUAGUUAACAUGCCAAUUCAAAGUUUCAUAUUUAAAAAUCAUCUAUAUGAAGCUAUUUUAGCUUAAGGACUCUAUAAAAUAGUGAAAUGUAUUGUUUUAUAACAUUCAAAAUGCCGAACAAAUAGCUUGAGUUUGAAAUGCUUGAGCAGCAUGCACCAGCAACAAGCUUAAGUGCAGUAGGAUCUUCAGAGUAAAGAAAAACCAUCUGGUUUUCAAAAAAAUAUAUUUGAAUAUGCUGCUGGCAUGAAGCAAAACAAUAUUUUAGGAAUACAGGUCUGAUGGCAAUAAUAAUCAAGUGCCAAACCUUGUAGAGGAGUUCAAUCCUGGCAGCGGUAUUUUAAAGUAUCCGAUUAGGCAGAGAUCCCUACAAUAAUACAAAUAACAAGUCUGAGAAUAGAAAUCUGAAUCUAUGGACACGAACUGAACAAAUCACCAAUGGCGACUAUGUAGUUAUGUUCCAAAAAUAGGCAAAACUGCUAGCUACAGACUUAUGGAUCAUGACUUAAUACAAUAAAUUUUCAUCAGGUGACAUCAACCUAACCAUAAUUCCCACAUAAAGUUAGAUUAUGCAUCAAUGCAACAGGGAUCAAAAUGUGUGCUUUGCCCAUAAAAUAAUGUACAAAAUGACAAAAAAAAUUAUACAACAGCAAAAGUGUGGCAUAAAUUGGAAGCCAGCAUAAACAAAAAAAAUAAUAUAUCCUUGUCAUCGUAGAAAAGAUCUUUAAAUUAAAAAAAAACAAGAAAGCAUAAGUAAGUUGAAAUGACCUACAAGUACAAUGGCAAUUCUUUAUUAGUAGAUGAGCAAUACUGAAGUAUGGCUUGUACUGCUCCAAGGAUGCCAUCUUUAAUAGAAAAAUAAAGGGGGUCAGAAUAGACAGCUAGUGAUGCAUACAGGUUCUUAUCCUUAUUCCAGGGCAGCGAUAUCAGCUGAGCAUUUGUAUCUGGUAGUUCAUUCCUAAAUCUGUGUCAACCAAAAAGAGAAGGCAAAACAGGACCAUUGAAGUGUAUACAAAAUGGACAUAAAUCAUCAAGAUUUAAAUAUUUGAUAGAAAUUAGUAGUUGGUUAAGGCUCCAUAAAACGGGUACACAUCCAGAAACUUAUUUUAAAUGUACAGGCAACAAAAAAUUGUCAUUUCAUAAUCUAGCAAAGUAACACUUUCCAAACCUAUUUGUGCUAAAAGCAUAGGUUGCUGUAACCUACAGGUGUAAUGUAGAGUCUAAUGUCCUUAUGUAUAUGCCACAACCUUCACCAAAAGGUCUGAUGUAGGGUAGUUAGAGAUGUAAUUAUUAAGCCAUAGAAAUAUGUUGUCUUUUAUUACACAAAACAUUAACUUUUUGCUAUCAGGAUAAUCUUGCCUUAUGAUAAUAUGGACUUACUGCUGCUCUGGCACUCUAUUUUUUGCCCCAAAUAUAACUUUGAAGUUGAGAGAGUAAAGGCUAAUAACUAAUGCAGUGGCACAAAUAUUAACAUUUCAUGUUUUUUUCUUUUAAAAAAAUCUAAUUUCAAAUGCAUAAGCAGUGCUUGGCUAAAGUCCAAUUACUUGAUAUUCCUAAGCACCUGAACCUCAUCAAGCUUAUCUGCUACUACAUAGUGGAUUCAGAAACAGCUAAGCACAGGUUGCUGGUCUACAAGUUUAUGCCCAACAAAAUCAUGUAUGGCCACUUGUUGAACUAAGACCAUCUGCCUCUUUUUGGAACUUAGAGGCUCUGGAUCACAAAUUUCCUACAUGAAUGAGUAGCACAAGUUCUAGUUCCCUUGAAUACAUUGCUCGUUCACAACUUGUUUUUAACCUUAGAAAUACAGCCUAAACCAAAUUGAGUUUAGAACUAUGAAACAAUGCACAAUGAAAUUACCUGGUCACCAUGGCUGCUGCCACCAAUGCCAAUGCUAUACACGAGGUGGAGCAUGAGGCAAACAAGAGGGGAAUCUACACAGAAGAAUGCUACUGCUUAAUUCAAUGCGGACAGAACACAGAACAAAAUCAGAACAACAAUAGAAAAAUUAUAUAUAUGUUGCCCCUUUUAUAGCACUAUAUAGGUGUGCUGGUCGGACCAUGUUUUGCAAUAUAUUAUGUUAAAAUAUGGUUUUAAAUUAUAGCUGCAUAUUGGGUACAUAUAUAACCAUGGAUUUAUUAGUUCAAGUAGAGCAUAACCAUACUUAGUACCAUGAACUUUUAUCCAUUAUAAUAUACUAAUGGUUAUCUAAAUUAGUCCACACCCAUAUGCGCUGGUAAUACUCCCGUAUACGCCAGUAGUAUACUUUCUUUUCCUGAAAGCUUCAAUUUCAUACGCCAGUAGUAUACUUCCUUUUCCUGAAAGCUUCAAUUUCUAGAGUUGUCUUAAGUCAAACUUUUUAAACAGUGACCGAUUUUCUAGAAAAAAAAUAAUAAGAUUUAUAGUACUAAAUUAGUACUAUUAGAUUUAUCAUAGAAUAUAUGACACUCAUUUUAUGUCAUAAAUAUCGAUACUUUUUUAAGUAUAGUGCUCGUGCUAAGCCACGGCUUUAUUUCAGAGAUACAAAUGAAAACAAUCAAAUAACAAUAACUUUUUUAUAUUUUAGGUCUCACGCAAUUGUAUAUGACCAUAUGGUAGCAGAGUAAUAUUUACUCACAAAUAGAUCGCAUAACUGAAACAAGCAAUUUCUUUUUAGAUACAUUUUUAACAUAUUAUUUUAUUGCUGGAUAGUUAACAUCGUCCACAAACUGAAACUAUUUUUGCUACUGCUAUUAUACAAUCCAGUGAUCCAAUAACAUUACUUCUAUACCUAAGAGAUAUGCGUGUAGUGUAUAUUCAGUCUUGCUAGGGCUCGUCUCUUUGUAAUAACAAAAGAUAUGAAUAAGGAGAGUGAACAUAUAUACAUUCUCUACAAGACUACGACACUUAUAAGAAGAGGAGGCCUCUUUGAAAGUUGAGACUGUGAUUGAUCAAGAUCACGAAUGCAUCUAGUUUAUCUGAUGUUAAAAAACGUUUUCCCCAUCACAGCCACCUUUCAUCAAAAUCCACUCAUGUAGAGAUAAGAAGGUGCCAUACAAGAAAAACAAUCAUAUUUUUCAUCACUGCAUUAGCUCAAAGAAACUAACCACGAUCAAAGCUGACCGGACGACAUAAAAGCUCCAAAAGCAAUGUCACACAGAUGGACCUGAACAUUUAAGCUCCCAGUAACGAUGAGCAUGUGCGUUGUCACGAUUGAAGACAUGGCAUCUGAAAAUAAAACAGUGGAAUCUUAAUUCCACUGUUCGAGGAAUCUUAAUUCCAUGGUGGCCUGAGAAAAUAAAACAGUGGAAGAACAUGCAGGAUCAUGAAACAGGGGAAGGAAAAAGAGAGAGUGGUAUCUGAAAAAUUCCUAACAACUCUGCAGGAGCGAAAUCUACCAUGACAGCAAGAACCGAAUCUCAGGUCCGUUCUUUCCUCAGCGCAAUUUUUCAACGUGCCAUAGCUUUAGAGUGAUCACAGUCCCCAAAUCCUCAAUUCCACAUUGAAAUCAGAAACGACAAAGAAUCUGCAAAGGUGGCCGCAGGAGCAGAAAUUCUGACACUCACCAGCACUUUGCAUAUAUCUCUCUAUACUAAGGAAGAUCCCUGGAUAAAGAUGGUAAGUAAGCUACCAGCAUCCAACUUGCAAUAUUUUAACCAAUCCAAAAGCGUCUCAAUCCACAUCUACAUGUCUAGUGAAAACUAACUAAGCCCCCAUCGCACUAACAAUACAUCCAUCCAGAGCAUAAUAACAAGCACAAAUCCAAGACAACUGAGAUCUGUAGACCAAUCACUCACCCUGGCGGUGGUGCCUACAUCAGGCAUCCUGGCAGCAAGGUCCCCGAUGACCUAGGCGGUGGCGUCGAGGUCGUCGUCGUUGGACACAGGUAGCCCCACAAGCAGGUCGUCCUUGUAUCGAGACGAAGGAGCACUCUGGAGUAGGUGGACGUGGAUGCCAAUGGCGAAGUUGGAGAUCCGAUCCUGUCUGAGCGCCGACACGCCGGGGACGGACGCCGCUGCAGCUCGCCCGUGCCGAAGGAGAGGACGCAUCCCCUGAUGAGCUUGCAGUGAAGCAGGGCCUCGCGCGGUGAGCUGCGGAUCUGAGUGGCGUGGGGGAGCUGGGGGACGGUGACGACGAGGGCAAGGGCGCAGGGGCAGGGGCCACGGUUUCUCUCUGCUCUCAGCUGCGCGGUGCGCGCCCAACAGAGAGGGCGACGGCACGGGCAGCGAUGGCGCCCCGGAGCCUCGCGCGGGGAGCUGCGGAGCUGGGUGACGCUGACGGCAAGGGCGCAGGGGCCGCGAUUUCUUGGAGGCUUGGAGCUCAGAGGGGGGCGACCGAGGGGUGCGGAGGCGAUAACCGCAGGAGGAGGAGGGCGAUCGAGGGGUGCGGGGGGCGAGGGCGAUAACUGCGCGAGGGGGGGCGAUAACCGCCCGGAGACGAUGACCUUCGGGUC
rnacentral:lncRNA from 1 species